rnacentral:misc_RNA from 1 species
UUUUAAUUUUUUUUUUUUAUUUUUGCACCUUACCUCGCUUAGGUGUGCGCUUGCGCCUUGUGCCUAGGUUGCAGGACCCUUUAGCGCCUUAGUAUGCCUUAAGGCUUUAAUAACUAUAGUAUUAAUUUGAAUUGAAUUGCUAAAAUUGAAAUCAAUAAUAAAAGUAGGAGAUAUAAUUGAUAAAAUUAAAAGGAAUGACUAAACUUAAAAUUUGUGAAGAAGUUUUGGCUUUUCUUAGUCAUUUGGCCUUAAAAUAUCAUAGAAUUUGCAAAACCCCAAAUCAUCCUUGAUCUUUUUUAUGAUUGCCAUGACCCCUUAACAUUUGCCAUUUCUUUUCACUUUUAAGCUAUUUAGAACGGGAAUGGAAAUGUGGACAU